CGCACACAGGCAGAGAGGAGGUAGCCACAAAGUGCUCCUCAAAUUCAACAAGAAUGUCUAUAAAUCAACAUUUUUCCAUCAAAAAAAAAAAAAAAACUCAAUCUGAGGUCAAGAAGAGACCGAGGCAAUCCCAGCAAGGGUGGAGAAGGCUAAAAACUUAAAAUGGCAGACGAGAAGGAGCAUUCUUGCCAAAAUGGAAGGGCAGACUCCCGCCAUCCAUAGGUGCCUACGAGCCUGUCGACUACUUCCGCUCCCUUCUUCGGAGAGAGACUAUCGAGAACAUGGUUGACCAAAGUAACCUCUACACUAUUCAAAGCGACUCCACUAAACCCCUGAACGUAACCUAUGAAGAAAUUGAGUAAUUUAUAGGUAUAUGUUUCCAUAUGUCUGUACAUGGCCUACCCCAGACCCGUCACUACUGGAACAAGAAGACACGUGUUGAUUGUGUGGCAAAUACGAUGCCAGUGAACCGAUGAGAGACUAUCAAGCGAUUCCUUCAAAUUGCUGACAAUCACACCCAGGUUCCAGCAGGACAUCCUGGUCAUGAUAAGUUAUUCAAGGUGAGGCCACUUCUCAACUCACUGCUGGCAAUCUUCAAGAACAUCCCCAUGGAUGAGAUGCUGUGUGGAUGAGCAGAUGAUACCUUUCAAGGGCAAAAGCAUAAUCAGGCAAUACCUUCCAAAGAAACCAAAACGCUGGGGGUGCAAGGUGUUUGUGCUGGCAGACUAACAUGGGAUUGUCUACAACUUCGACUUCUACACUGGCACCAUUCUGCCAGUAGGGAGUCCAGAUAUUAGUGCAAGUGGCAACAUCGUGCUGCAGCUGGCUUCCAUCAUCCCGGUGAACCUGUUCCACAAGAAAUUUUAUGACAACUGGUUCACAAGUGUGGAUCUUCAAGUUGUCCUGGAGAAGGCAAAGAUCCACAGUGUGGGUACGGUAAGACAGAACCGUCUAGCUGACUGCACCUUCAUGCCCGACAAGAUGAAAAAAAAAAGCACGAGGAACCUAUGAGGUAAAACAGAACACACGUCAAGGUGUGACCCUCAAGGCAGUGAAGUGGUUUGACAACCGGCCAGUGACAUUACUGAGCACCUUCACUGGAGCCAACCCCAUCACCCAAGUUCAGAGGCUGCCUAGAGGAUGCGCACCAAACCACUGUCUCUAAGGACACCAAAGCCUAAACCCCACUGGGAAAAAGCCAGUGAAGGCCGGCAGAUGCACCAUAAAUAAAAAAACACCUGGAUAGACACACUGUCCCUCCUGGUUUACAGCCACGACCAGUCUCCUAAUGAAACUGCAUCCACCACAGGAUCAGUUUAUUUACUAACUUCACAUGUUGCUAUUGUUGGCAACGUAGGGAACCUGCACAGUUUCCCGAAAAGGGGAGUCACCAUAUCACCAAGGAGAGAAACUACAGUGCUGACUAGCUUUUACAGCCAGCCUGAACCUGGGACACUGCCCAAGCCAGAGUUCCUCAGACAAACAAGCCACACGAUCAUCCGCACAGACCCAUCUGUGCUCCAGUAUUAAGACUGACAAACAUCCAGGAAUUAGUUUAGGAAAACUUUUGUUUGUUACUGUUUUCAGUUAUUAAUUGUAUUUAAUGUGGUGUUUAGAGCAUAUCACAUCACUUGCUAGCUAGUUACAGCCAUCUAGCCCCACAUUGCUAUUACAAACUUUUUUUUUUUUUUUAAACCUGAGCUCGGUGCAUGCAACCUCCUCUGCAUUAGAUAUGUGGUCUCAUGUAUUUGGAAUGGCAAUGUGCAAAUGGAUUAGCUAGAUGUUGCUAACUCCAAUAGCCCUCUGUACACACCAUUCCCCUGGUUCCCAGGCCAUGUUAGCAUUACAUGCCAAAGCCUAGUUCAUACUUCUCUCUGUCAUAGUAUCCUUUGUUCUCUCUUGAACCAUGUCUGCUGGUGAACACACACACAAAAACACAAAACUCUGGUCCUCUUUCCAUAUCCUCACUUAUUUACUCCUUUAGGCUUUUACUGAACAUUUAUUCCUACCUAUGUUUACAGGAUAUUUCUCCUACUGUGAAAUAUACUCACUGACUUAUUGUUUUUUCAACAGUAUUCAACAGUUGUAGUAAUCAUUCUUGAACAUAUAUUUCUUUACAACAAAAUCAUGUGUCAGUCUAUUCUGUUCACAAUGUAUAGUUCUUGGUUAAAAUCGUAAGGGUUAUCUCCAUAGGUGUCAGGCACCAUAAUGAAGAUGAUGCUCUCAUAUAAAAUAUGAAUGUUACUGAGGGCACAAAUGACACCUCCACAAACCACAAAGAUCAUCGGGGUUACCACAGAUAGAUUUCACUGCUGAAGAGCUCAUUAACAAGCUACACUUAUACCUAGCACUAACAUCUAAAAAAAAAAAAAAAAAGGUUUUAAGUGUUUUUAUUUUUAUAACGCAAGUGUUUUGGGUGCAGGCUUCAGCACGGGUUAUGGUAGAAAAAAAUAAAAUAAAAUAAUAUCAUUGAGAAGUACCAGAAUUUCUCAGAACUCCCAGAAAGCCCUGAUUUUACAGCAGAGUACAGUAAAACAACUAGGGAUGGCUCGAUACCACUUUUUCAUGUCCAAUACCGCAACCUUGAGUAUCUGCCGAUAUCGAUACCAAUCCGAUACCGUCUUUUUCCCUCUCUUAAACAACUAAGCUGUUAAAGGGGCAGUUCACCCAAAAUUCAAAAAAACAUUUUUUCCAUUUACCCGGAGUGCUGUCUAUCCAUCCAGAUGGUUUCGGUGUGAUCUGCCUAGUUUUGGAGAUGCCGUAGAGAUAUCUGCCGUUACUCCAAUACAAUGGAGCUGAAUGGAACUCGGUUUGUGGCGCUCAAAGCACCAAAAAAAUAAAUUUCAAAAACUCAAAAGCCUCUUUCCAGAAAUCAUGACCCAAUUACUUAAAAUAAUCCACAGACCUUGUUGUGAGCAGUUUCAUGUAGGAACUAUUUUCUACUGAAGUACACCCCCAUUCAUUAUUAUUAAAACGCUGCUCACUGAAUAACGAAAUAAACCAUUUUAAAGGUGCAGUGUGUAGAAUUUAGUGGCAUCUAGCGGAACGGACUUGGCAGAAAUUGAAUAUAAUAUCCAUAAGUUUUAAUUAGUGUAUAAUCCCAUGAAAAUGAGAAUUGUGUUUUCAUUACUUUAGAAUGAGCCCUUUAUAUUUACAUAUGGAACGGGUCCUCUUCCACGGAGGCUGCCAUGUUGCACCGCCAUGUUUCUACAGUAGCCCAGAACGGACAAACGGCUCUAGAGAGGGCAUUUUGCGCUUUUUUUUUUUGCGUUUUUAAUUUUGGUGGGUGGCGCGAAUGCAUCGGUUGGAAGACAAAGAAGAAGAAAGAAGAGAUUGAGUGGUCAUAUAUUGUUUUUGAGAAUCCGUUUGUGAAAUAUACGUGCAUUUGUGAUGCCUGGGUACCUUCCAAACUAGCUGUGCGUAAUACCGCACUUGUUGUUUACGGCGUUGUCGCCCUUUUUAGUACAGUUUUCAUAAUUUCUUGGAAAAUACUAUUAUUAUUGAGGACUUCUGGGCAUAGCUAAGCCAUAUGUUUGCUGAUAGAUCUAGCUGACAUGGUUUUCUGGUGUAAGACAGAAGCAGCUAGAACUGUAUCAUUGAUUUACUGUCUCUAUCUAGCGAAAACAGAUAAGAUUUCAUCAUUGCUAUGUAAGUAUUAGUGCUCAAAAUAUUUUGGUUAUAUACGUUAUUUUUUAAAUUGAGUGUCUUUAAAUAGGUUAUUGGUAUUAUAUGAUGCGGAUAUAUCUAUAAGCUAACGCUGGUCACUCACCAUGACACCUGCCCAGUUCUCCACUGGUUCUCCUCACACUACAACUCAAUUUCUCUCCUCUGACCGUUAUUCCUUCUAACCCUGGUCUGUUCCUGGUCUCUUGGACGCCUAGCAGACUCAUAAUUAUAAGGCUGUGGUCCGUCAUAUGCGUUUGCAUAAACAUUUACAACCUCUUCAGUGUCAAAAACUAGCGUUGAGAUCCAUUCUUCUUUGUUGUUCAACUUGACCGCUCGACCUUCUGUUAUGUCACUUCCGGUUUGGCAUUUUUAGAAUUAAAAUUAUCUCACAAAAACGACUCCAGAAGUCACUGUAGUGUAUAUAUAAGUAUAUUUUUUAAUGAAAAUAUAGUUCCUACAUCAUUUUCCUACACAUUGAUUCACUGGGGUCUCCAACCUGCAGUAUGCUCUUUAAGCAUUUAUGUGAUAGUUUAGGCUGAUCGAAUUGGAUUAUACUUUUUUUUUUCGAUAUCCGAUCCAGUGAUUUUGGCCAGUAUCGGAACGAUACUGAGUAUCGGAUCAGCACAUCCCUAAAAACAACAGAGUAUAAUAAUCCAGUAAAAAAAAUGUUUACUGUUACAAUUUAAAUAUGUUGCUGCUUUUUGGGCUCAAGUAAACUCUGCUAGAUUGGAAGUUAUUAAGAAAAUUUUAUUCAGAAAAUGUUUCAAAUGUGGUCCCUGUAGAGUAACAUUUUGGAAAUCCUGUGUGUUUGGAAGUAGGUUGUGUGAAUUUCUGAUAAUCUGCUUCACAUUUAAUAUAAGCCUGUAUUAUUGCCUAAAUAGAUUAGAUUAAAGUUGGAUUCAUCCCCUUGGUCGGAACAAAUCUACAAUUAGGUGUGAAAUAGAAGUUGACCUUUUCUAUUAUGUUUGGUCUCUUAAUGACAUUGGAAGAAUCUGGGCUUGUGCCUGGUGAUACAAAGGCUUGCCAAUCAGGCCCCAUGCCAAUGAAUUAGCUCAGUGGACAAUUAUAAGCAUCUGAUAAUUCUGAUAUUUGAAAGCCAGAGCUGGGUGCUGGCAUACACACUCUAUGUGGUUGGUUCGGGCCACAACUAUCUCUAGGCCACAAAAUUAAAAUUUUUUAAUGAUCUCUUUUUUUGAAACACAUUUUAAUUGUCCGGUAUGCACAGGGUGCAAAUAGCUUUAUUGAUGCUAUUGUUCAUGCAUUGUUUAAUGUUAUUUAUAUGUCUUCUGUGAUCAGUUCCCCAGUCUGCGAUCACUGCCAACAAGAAUCAAAUAAUCCAUGGCCAAAUCUGCUGAUAAUCUUCCAUUCUCAUGAUAAAUAAUCAAUCAAACAUGUCCAAGAACUAACUAUUAACAUUCUUAUUCAGAAUCAGAGAAUAAACAUCAGGUCUAAUUCUGAACAUGUUUUGAAACAAAUUUGCAAUAUUCAAACAAUAUACUGUGAGGAAUCUGGAAGAUGGGAGGAGCACGUGAAACAUGUCCGUCUAUAUACAAAGGAAACAUUUGCCUCAUGGACCCAAACGUUUUUAUCUUUAUUUUAUUUUUUUAGAUUUUAUCUAUUAAAGUUUUUCUUAAAACACACAAAAAAUGUCUUAAAAACCAUGGGUCCAAUUUGAAAUUAAAUUGUGUAUGCAUGCUGUCAAAAAAAAAAAAUCUUUGACUCAAUGUGUGAUGAGUGAGUGAUGGGCUAAAAUAUUUGUGUGGAGAUGCACAAAAUGAGCAUAGAUUGAGCAUAACAACAUCAGACUUGUGGCUGAUGGCUGACAGUUCAAGUUGCUGAGUGCCCUGCCAAGAACAUCAGUACCAAAUUAUAUAUAAAAAAAUCAAAAAUUGGGGUAGUAUUUAAUUUCCUUUGACAUCCAUGCAUCUUAGUGCUUGAAUGUGGAAACUGAAUGAUCAUAAUAUUUUAUCAAUUUGUCCUACAGAUGCACUAAAUGUAAUUUGUUCAAAUGUAACUAUGGAGCAUUACGUGAAAUCUCGUGAAAUGCAACGUGCCCUCAUACCAUUGACCCCUUUUGAAUUCUAAUUAACAUGCAGCUCUUUGAGAUGGUUAAGGGUCUCAGUCAACACCCACAAAGCAAUUUUAGCAAUAAUUGGCCUAAAUGUAGCACUGUACCCUACCAAGUUCCUGACAUUUUGCACUUUAAAAGGUCAUAGCAUUUUAACCAAUUCACC